AUGCUCAAGCAGCUUAAUCCAGGUUUUUCCAUUGAAAAAUACUUUCCAAAUAACCCUUUAUGCUUUCCAGAAAUUCUACGUCAUUUCCGAUCAUUAAUAUGUCAACAACAUAUACUCAUCAGAAAUUCUAUAGUGCUCCCACUCACUUCUUUGGAAAUACAAGUUUCUCAUAAACUUUGUAUACACCCAAAAUCUUUGAUCAUCAUCAAAGCAUACAUUCCAACUCCGAGAUGCUCACUCCAGUCCUCAGAAGGAUUGCUGGAGCUUUGCAUACUUAUUAGCAUAUUUCAGGAUGGACAAAACCUUCCGGUUGUAUCACAUACAACCUUUCCUCAAAAAUCGUCGAGGAAACAACGUUUUGACAUCCUAUCUGCAAGAUUUCAUAAAUAA
rnacentral:rRNA from 1 species